AACGAACGCUGGCGGCGUGGAUAAGACAUGCAAGUCGAACGGGACAGACCGAGUAGCAAUAUUUGGAAUGUUCAGUGGCGAACGGGUGCGUAACACGUGGAUAACAUUCCGGAAAGCGGGGAAUAGCCCAGGGAAACUUGGAUUAAUACCGCAUGUGGCCGCAAGGCUAAAGACGGGGACCGCAAGGCCUGUCACUUUCCGAUUGGUCCGCGGCCUAUCAGCUAGUAGGCGGGGUAAUGGCCCACCAAGGCUACGACGCGUAGCUGGUCUUAGAGGGCGACCAGCCACGCUGGAACUGAGACACGGCCCAGACACCUACGGGUGGCAGCAGUCGAGAAUCUUUCACAAUGGGGGCAAGCCUGAUGGAGCGACGCCGCGUGGAGGAUAAGGUCUUCGGAUUGUAAACUCCUGUCAUGCGAGAACAAGGUACUCAGGCUAAUAACCUGAUUGUUUGAUGGUACCGCAAGAGGAAGAGACGGCUAACUCUGUGCCAGCCGCCGCCGUAAUAC
rnacentral:rRNA from 1 species